UCAACGUGGACAUCUCGUGAGUUCACUCACUCAUGUGGCUCUGUCCGUGUGGCGUAUGGGAGCGUAGCACUUUGUUGCCAUGACGUACAGUCCCGUUCCACGACGUUGUAUAGCAUGCAUGUCCCUGGCAUUUAGCUGGUGAGGACGGCAUCCUGUAUAUUCCUAGGUCUUCCCAGAGUCUUAUGGGCUGUUACUGGGGAGCCAAACCAUGCAGUGUACAGUU